UGACCCUACGGGAGGCAGAAGUGGGGAAUAAUUCACAAUGGGCGAAAGGCGGAUGCAGCAACGCCGCGUGAAGGAAGACGGUUUUCGGAUUGUAAACUUCUGUUCUUAGUGAAGAAUAAUGACGGUAACUAAGGAGCAAGCCACGGCUAACUACGUGCCAGCAGCCGCGGUAAUACGUAGGUGGCAAGCGUUGUCCGGAAUUACUGGGUGUAAAGGGAGCGUAGGCGGGAAGCCAAGUCAGCUGUGAAAACUACGGGCUUAACCUGUAGACUGCAGUUGAAACUGGCUUUCUUGAGUGAAGUAGG
rnacentral:rRNA from 1 species